UCCUCGUUAGUGUAGUCGUCAGUAUCCCCGCCUGUCACGCGGGAGCCCGGGGUUCAAUUCCCCGACGGGGAG
rnacentral:tRNA from 1 species